GCUUACGGUCAUACCACCCUGAGCACGCCCGAUCUCGUCUGAUCUCGGAAGCUAAGCAGGGUUAGGCCUGGUUAGUACUUGGAUGGGAGACUGCCUAGGAAUACCAGGUGCUGUAAGCU
rnacentral:rRNA from 1 species